rnacentral:rRNA from 1 species
UACGUAGGGUGCGAGCGUUAAUCGGAAUUACUGGGCGUAAAGCGUGCGCAGGCGGUUUUGUAAGCCAGAUGUGAAAUUCCCGGGCUCAACCUGGGAAUGGCAUUUGGGACUGCAAGGCUCGAGUGCGGCAGAGGAGACUGGAAUUCCUGGUGUAGCAGUGAAAUGCGUAGAUAUCAGGAGGAACACCGAUGGCGAAGGCAGGUCUCUGGGCUGACACUGACGCUCAUGCACGAAAGCGUGGGGAGCAAACAGG